CAUUUUACAACAGCAAUGUUCCAAUGGUCACUAUGCUGCCAGUUAGGUGGGACCAAAAUAGACAAGAAGCCUAUUUUAUGCAAAUGCUGAGCGAUGCGACAUUGCGAC